UACGAAGGGGGCUAGCGUUGCUCGGAAUCACUGGGCGUAAAGCGCACGUAGGCGGACUCUAUGACGUGUGGAAAUCCUGGAGCUCAACUCCAGAACUGCCUUGAUACUGAGACUUCGAGUUCGGGAGAGGUGAGUGGAACUGCGAGUGUAGAGGUGAAAUUCGUAGAUAUUCGCAAGAACACCAGUGGCGAAGGCGGCUCACUGGCC
rnacentral:rRNA from 1 species